UCAGAUGUGUGGCUUUAAGCAGAUGUGUGGCUUUGAGCAUCGAGUAUUGAUAACUGUGGCUGAAAAAUCCACGUCAAGUGAUAUUUCCAAUGAAUAAUUCAGCAAACUUGAAUUACAAAUAUGCACUUUGUGUCUGUUAUGGAGAAACUGAAGGCAGCUUUCAGUCAUACGUGUGUUUUUAAGCAGAAUGUUGGUGUGGGUGACAUCUUUUCUUUUUAUAAAUAGCAAAGAGACAGAUGGUCCUAACUUGAAUGGAUAGUACUGAACAAUUCUACAUAAACCACGCUGUCAACUCUCAGUUUAUGCUGUGAUAUGCAAAUACGUCUUUUUUGUUGCGAGUUUCUUUCCUGUACCAACUGAGACAGAAAACGCUAUCGAACAGCUAUUGAAACAAAGUAAAAAGUGCUCUACCAUUCGUAGCUUUCCAUCCACGUCGUGGUACUUUGUCACCAAAAACUUAACGUGAAUCGUGGGUUUCAAAUUCAAGACUUAAAUUGAUAUUUUAGUAGUAGUUUGUUUUUCAAGCAUCAAAUUAUGAAUCUUUGAUACUGUAUUAUUUAGAUUUACUUGAGGGUGCUACUUUUAUCACUCAUUAAAUUGUCGUAGCAAGUUCGCUUUACUCAACUCCUAUUACUUCUUCUAUUGCAUCACCUUUGAUUGACAAUUUUUGUCUAAACUAAUAUUAGGCUAAAUCUUCAAAUAAGCUGUAUUAUCUUUAUAUUGCUCUGUGUUUCGUUGCAAAUUUUGUGUCCCAACGAACUAUCUUCCGAACUGUUAGGCCAAAGUCUCAUCUCGCAAAAGUGUAGCAUUACAGGUUUUUGUCGAGCUAAACUAUCCGAUUUUUCAAGCUAAACUCUCUUCCUUUUGAUAUUUCUUGGUCUUACUCUCUAAGUUGAAACCAAAACUAAAUCUUGCUGACUGUUUACGCCAUAUUCUUUUACUUUCUCUAUCGAGCGGUCUUUUUCUUCUAGCUUUCGUCGAACUAAAUCUGUCCGACUUAUUAGGCCGGGAUCUUUAAAACUUUUUGGCCUAAUGCUGCAAGCUGGUGUUAUCGCUCUAUCUUACUUGCAUUAUCGUAUGCCAUACAUUACCUGUACAUUACAUUUUUUAUUGAAAGUCAAUCUGCACAACUUGCUAGGCUUGUUUCCUUUCUGUCACAGCUACAAUCCCGGACAAAAAUAGUGGGGACUUUUCAAGGAAAGUUGAUAUAUUCUUUGAAAAAUAACUUUCCCCUCCUCAAUUCAAUGUUGAAUGCAUGAUUUUGAAAGAGAAAUGAUAGAACUACAAAUCCAACAUUGAUUCGGGGGAAAGGGGGGAUUUGAAUUUGCAGGGGCAACGUAAAGCAGAAAAUUGCAAAAAUUGUAUUUUGUCUCAACAUCUUUGUCGUUGAUUCUAUGCCUUACAUUUGAGUUGAUCGCAACGCUGAAUCACGCUUUUCUUUCAACCUAUCUUGCAAUCUUUUAUAACAAUUUUCGCAAGUAAAGAUACGUCCAAUAAUAAAACCUUAUAUAAUUAGAGUGAUAUCAUUUUUAUUCAUCAAACUUAAAUUGUUUUGAGGGAGUGUCAUCGAAAAUCCAAUCAGUUUCACUCAAUUAGUCUGACUCAUUUUGACAAAUGCGAAUAAUUGAAGCUUUGCUCUUAUCAUACAGUGACAACCAACAUACUGGUUUUCAAACGUCAACAUCUCUUCGUUGCCGUGGUUGCCAUUAAAUGUUGACUCUAGCAUAAAAAACGUUUUAAAUAUAACUAUGAAAUUUUGUUAAGCAGGCGAGUUAAUAUUGAAUCAAAAAAAUUUUGAUCUAACGAAACUUUGCCAUCAAAUAUUAUGAAGGUAAACAAUUUCAUGAAUGGUUUACUUCGAAUGCUUGAUCCGAUAAGUGAACCUUAAGAAUCGGCACUGCGAACAUAAAGUAAAUGUUGUUUAACGCCAGCCGUUAUUUUACGUGCUGAAAUAAAAUAUUAAUGACCUGCUGGUUGUGUUGAAGCUGUUUCUGUCAAAGCCUCGAGUUUGUGAGCAACUGACAACGUCUUUGACCAAUUUCAUGACGCCUCACCGUGCCAGAGUAACUGCUAGCUGCUUGCACGAAAGAGAUUUAUUCAUGUGUCAGUAUUAAUCAAUGAAGACUUCCGAUGGAGAAGGCAAUCCUCGUGUAGCCGUGAAAGUAUGGCAAAUGGGGAACGCUUGCAAAAAAAGUCAGACUGUCCCAUGCUUUCGCGUUGAACCAGACACAACAAAUUACGGAACAGAUGCCGACAAAGACAAAAAAGUGUACUGCUUACCUUGGGAAGAGCGAGAGAAGACAGUCCAAAGAGGUGGAGAACCUCGUUGCUUCUGCUGGUGUUGCUUUUGCACAUGUAGCCUAAAGUCUUCAGGUAGUGUAAGUUCCGUCAGAGGUACUGGUGGUUCGCUGCUUGAUAUAGCAAAAUACGGAAUCAACGAUCAAAGGUACAAAAUUAGAUAUUUGCUCUUAGAACAUUUAUGUAUAGUACCGUAUGUAAGAGAGUACAUUUACGUAACAAAAUUAGAUGUGCCUAAUAAGCAUCUGCAAAUAAAUUACUGCAUCUAGGAAACAUGAUAGCUCAAUGAAUAUGUGCUGCUAGAUUUUUUGAACGGCGGAAAUGAAGAAUCCAGAUGGAUAUCAUGUUAGCUAGAUGUCAUAUUUUAGGAGAGCGUUCCUUGACCCUAGGCGACAUGUGAUUCGUAGAUGCAAUCAAAAAACUCCUUGAUUUGUAUGACACGAGGUUUAUCGGAUUAUCCGAACCGGAUUCUUCACCUUCGCCUUUUUAAACUAUUAUACAUAGACAGGUUUUAUGAGAAAAUGUUUUUAUCCAGUCAACCUUCAAAGUCAAUGAUAAAAAAUUUAGUAAGCGGAAA